rnacentral:misc_RNA from 1 species
GAAAUGCCAUAAGUAAUGUGAAUUGCAGAAUUCAGUGAAUCAUCGAAUCUUUGAACGCACCUUGCGCUCCUUGGUAUUCCUUGGAGCAUGCCUGUUUGAGUAUCAUGAAAUCUUCAAAGUAAAUCUUUUGUUAACUCAAUUGGUUUCUACUUUGGUAUUGUAGGUCUUUGCAGCUUCACACCUGCUCCUCUUUGUUCAUUAGCUGGAUCUCAGUGUUAUGCUUGGUUCCACUCGGCGUGAUAAGUUAUCUAUCGCUGAGGACACUGUAAAAGGUGGCCAAGGUAAAUGCAGAUGAACCGCUUCUAAUAGUCCAUUGACUUGGACAAUACUUUUAUGAUCUGAUCUCAAAUCAGGUAGGACUACCCGCUGAACUUAAGC